UUUCCCAGGAUGCUCUGCGCUGCUGUCAUGGCUGCCCCCGUGUGCCUGUAUCCUCACAGGGGACGCUAGUCCUGUGGGUGUCUUGACGGUGCCCGUGGCCACCAGACGCCGGCGACCUUGGCCCCUCCUCCUUCUGCUUCCUCCUCCCCCGAGGGGCCCUCGCGGGACCCCGAGUUGGGUCCAGUGAUGCCGGGGGUGACGUGGACUCCGGAGCGGGCGCUGCUGAGGGGCUUCUCCACGGAGGCGGAGCGGCUGCUGUGCACGCAGGAGGGGCGCUGUGGCUCAGGCUUCCAAGCAACAAAAUCUAAAACAAAUCUGGAAACUCACAGGUCAGAAUGAUUUUAUCCUUAUUGGACAGCUCAAGGCUGAUGACUGAUCAACUGUGGACCUGCUUUAGGACUCUUUCCACUUGAAGUGGAAGAAAGUUGAAAAAGAGGGUGUGCCUGGAGAGUACACUCAUCUCUCUGACAUCUUUCCUUCCAAAGUCAUGCAGACAGCUCCAUCCUCCAUUGUUUCCUUUCCUUGGGCUUCUCUGUCCCUACAUCUUCAUGGAGAGCCCAAAGUAUGGGAGAGGAGAAUGGACACAGCCACAGACAGCAUAAAGGUCACUCCAUUGGCAUUGCUUCAGGUUAUGGACUCAAUGGGAAUAAGCCCAGAAUCACAGUCGGAGGUGAUAGACUCUGUGGGGUUUUCCUCACAGCCACCAAAUCAAGCAGAAACAGUGAGUAUAGCUCCUCAGCCAAUGAAUCAAGUAAUUGAACCAAUAAAAGUAACCCAUCCUCAGAAUCAAACGACAGAAUUAAAGAGCAUGGCCUCAAGACUGAGUCAAGUCACAGGUACCAUGAAGGUAACUCCUGUAGAUUGUUUCACAUUAUGGAUUCCAUGGGGAUAAUUGACAAAUUAAGUCCACAAGGCACAGGACCAGAAGGAAUAGCCUCAAAGCUACAAUACCAAGUCAUGAAAUCAGUGAAGAUGAAUACAUUGCAUAAUUAUCAAGCCAUAAGACCAGGAAGUAUGAGUCUAGGGCCACAGCAGACACUUGUGGAAGCUAUGGAAAUGAUUCCCCAGUCUCAGCAUAAUGUCAUGGGAACACUGACCAUGACCUUGAGUUCUUAGAAUCAAGCCACAAAACACCAGGAUUACUCCCAGUCCAGUACAUCAAAAUGCAAUGGAAAUUAGUUCAAGUGCACUGCCUGAAGCCAUUGAUGAUACAAAGUGACUCCAUUGGCACAACAAGCCAUGGAUUUCAUGCAGAUAAUUCCACUAGGACAGCCACAUAUUACUAAAUCUAGGGCUUUGAUCCAAGGCUCACAGCCUCCAGCUGAAAAUUUGACCCCAGUGUCAGCUCAACCAGAUGUUCCGACUUCUACGGUCCCAGUAGGAACUGUAGAAUCUAGAAGCAUACCUCCACAGCCACCAUCUAAAGUCCUGGGACCAUCAGGAAUGAUUGAUGACCUACUACCAUCAGGUUAAUCCCUGCAUGCUCUAAAGGUGACCCCGCUAGUCCAGGCAUCUCCCACGGGAAUGAUCACACCACUACAAGUUGUAGAGCCUCAAGUCAGAGAGUCUCUGCAAUUUGCCUUCUGGGUUACAGGGUCAGGUUGGAGAUUCUGUGGGGAGUCUUAAGGCACAGAGUGUUUGUCAUUGACUCUAGGACUGUCUCAUCAGGUCACAGACUCUUUGGAGUUCACCCCAUGGCACUAAGACUUAAAUUAUUCGGAGGUGAGCCCAAGGCAAAGUCACAACAUGGCAGAAACUAUGGGGUUGAACUGGCCAUAAGAGAAGGAUCUUGUGGAGACACCACAGUCACAUCAUCAAAUAAUGGAAUCCAUGAGAACAAUCCCAGCACCACCAGAUCAAGGUGCAGUACCUAUAGGAAGGGGCCAAAAGCAUCAAAUUCCAGAAGCUGAAGUAGGGCCAGUCAUACCACUGCUUCAGGAAAUGGAAUAUUUGGGGGGGGGGGAGCACAGUCCCACAGUCUAAGGUUAGAGAUUCAAUGGACUUACCCCCAGAACUACAGAAUGUAAAAUCUGUGCACCUAAUCCCAGAUCCAAGAUUGCAAAGUAUGAAAUCUGUGGGCAUAGUCACAGAUUUAGUCCCAGAAAUGGAAAAAUAUGGACCACAUACCUCAACAGUGGUAUCUACAGAUUUGGCCCCAGAACUAAAUCAGCAGAAUAUACAAUCUGAGGAAUUAACCCCCAUACCACAACUGCAAAGUGAGACAUCUGUGCCAUCAGCCCCUGAGUCUCAGUUUCAAGAUGUGAAUUCUGGCCAACUGACAGUUGAACCACAACUCCAAAACAUAAAGUCUGCUAGGUAGGCCCCAGGUCCACAGUUGUAAAGUAAUAAAUCAGUACAUUUGAUCAACAACUCUCAGUCUCAAGGUAUGGAAGAAUGCUCUUUCAGCCCUAUCACAGGAAUUACAAGGUAAUUAAAAAUGGUGGAGUUGACUCCAAAUGAUCACUUGAAGAUAGAAAAUCUGUGAACUUGGCCCCAGAACCAUGUUCACAAAGCACCGGCUAUGAUAAGAUAGCCCCUGUACCAUUGAUUGAGGAUACAAAGACUCCAUUUGUAGAAGGUAGGAGUCUACUUCCUGAGGCACAGGUGGAGAGUAUGGAAGUUGGUGAACUGAUCCCAAGCACACACUUUUAUGCAACAAAAUCUUUAGAAGCGACCCCCAAACCAAGUUAUCAUUUCCUAGAACCUGAAGGACUGACCCUACAGCAUCCAGCCUCAGAAGCAAGAGUGACCUCUGAUCCUUGCCAGCAGGUGGAAAAAUCUGCUCCGUUGCCAUAAUCAUCAUUAGGGAUGAGUCCAGCACCAUUGAGCCAGACCUCAGAAUCUGUGGAGAUGAACUCACCACCACUCCAAGAUACUCUUGAACCUGGGACCCAAGUUGUAAAAGAGAUGGAAGAGACUCCAGAAUCAGGAAGUGCAAUUAAAGAUACUCUGGAUUUGCUACUACAAUCAGAAGUGCAAACUAUGAUCUCAGGAGUGAUGGCCCCAGAGCCACAGCCCCCAGAUGUGAAGUUUGUUCAGGUGACUCUAGAACUGUGUACAGAAUUUGCUAACCCAUCGGACAAGAAUAUGAAGACAGAGACCAUCAGGUUGACAUUGUCUAAAGUCGAUGAUACCCAGGGGACCAUUGUAGACCCAUAAUCAGAGAUGGGAUCUCUAGAGUUGAGUCUAGAACCAAGAGUGCAAGGUGUAAAGUCAGAGACCUUGGCCCAAAAUUUGAAAUCUGCAGAAGUAAUUGCUGAAUCACCUGAACGAGUUGUAGAACCUACAGAGCUAACUACAGAACCCUAACUGCAUGGGCCACAGCUCCAUGAAGUAAAGUCUAGGCAAAUGGAUAGAGAAUCACAGUUGCAGAAUGAGAAAUCUGUAGAUGUAAUGAAUGCAACAGUCACCUAUAGGAGAGGUAGAUCCUGAAAAGACAAAACCAGAGCCAGGGCUACAAAGUUUAUCACCAAAGGAACUCAUUGAGGGGCCACAGCCCCCAAAUGUGAAAUCUGUGUAUUUAAAUCUAGGCCCACAGCAGCUAAGUGUCAAAACGGAAUUGAUUCUAGGGCCACAAUUGCAAAGUGUCCAAUUUCUAAAGUUAUAUCAAGAGCUACUUCUUCAAGGGGAAAACGCAGUAAAUUUCAUCUCAGGCCCCCCACAUUAUGGUGUGAAAUCUGAUGAUGAAAUAUCAUGUUCCCCAGGGUCAGAAAUCAGAUCAUCAGCAUUUCUUUUAGGGCCAAAGCCUCUAGAACCACAGCCACAGCCACGUCCACAACCUGUGAAGUUGGUGGACAUAAACGUAAGACCAUGCUUGCAACAUGUGAGAUUCUCUGAUCCCAUCCUAGAGCCCAAGCACCAAGGUUUCAAAUGUGGACAAUUCAUGCCAGGUAUUCAGCUUCAAGAUAGGAAGCCCUAGGGAUUGACGCCAGAAUCAUUUUUGCCAUUAGGCCAAGAGAUGCACGUUGAAGAUAAGCUUGUUCUGCCUCCGGAAGUAUCAGAGUUUUGCAGCAUGAAACUCACAAUUCCAGCCUCUGAACUACAACAUCCAAGAGUGAUAAUUGAGGAGGUCAAUCCAGGACUGUGGCAACAAGACACCAAAUUUUCUGAGUUGGCUUCUAGAAUGAAACAUCAAGGGGUCCAAUUUGGGGAGCAAAUUUUGUCUUAUGGUAUGAGUCCUAUGGCUCCAGAGUUAGGGAUACAUGAUCCCAAAUCAGCAAAGGUGACUCCAGGCCUACAAGAUACAAGGCAGGUGAGUUUUAACUCAGGGCCAUGGCUGCACGAUGUCAAAUUUUUUGAUGUAAUUCCAGGAACUCAACCUCAAGCUGUGAAGACUUCAGAGUUAAACUCAGGGCCACAGUUAGAGUGUGUAAAAAUUUGAGUUGACCACACAGCCAGAGAGGCAAGGGAUGAAGCCAGAGUUAAUAGCACAAGAGCCACUCUUUCAAGAUAUACAAUAUGUCCCAAGGAAUCAAGUACCAAGCUUUGAAGACCCAAUGUCUUAUAAACUAGCAUCUGAGCCACACAUACCAAAUACAGAAUCAAUGAAAUUGACUCCUAGGAAACACUUAGCAGGUGCAGAUCAUUCUGAGUUGAUCAGAAGACCACAGGCAGAAGGUGUAGAAUCUUCUGAAUUGAUCCACAGACAGCAUUUGGGACAUAUAAAACCUGUGAAGAGGAUCACAGCCACAAAGCAAGAAGAGUUAAUGCCAGGGCCACCUUUGGAAGACAUGAAAUCUGUGGAGUUAAGGUCAAAGUCAGAGCUGGGGAAAGUCAAAUCUAUGCUGUCAAUCCUGGUGAUACAAGCAGGAGAUAAGGAACUUGAAGAACUGCCUCUGGGCUCCAACAGGUUUAAAAUCUGAGUUACCAUGUUCAGAACCACACUUAGAAGAUAGGUAAUCUGCAGUCUAAACUCUAGAGAGGAUAAAAUCUACAGUGAUAUCCCCAAGUAGUUCUCAGUCAGAUGGUAUGAAAGAGGAUAAAAUAUACAGUGAUAUCCCCAAGUAGUUCUCAGUCAGAUGGUAUGAAAUCUGGGAAGUUGAUCCCAGGUUCAAGAAUGCAAGAUUUGAAAACUGUGGGGUUGGCCCGUGACACAUUUGUUCAAGAUGUAAACGUUAUGGACUUAAAACUUGAGAAAAGAAGCAAGGGGAGAAUCCUGUGACUUUUGUACCAGGGAUGCUGUUUCAAGAUAAGCCUGUGGAGGUGUUGUAAGGGCCUCAUCAACAAGAUGUAAAACCCAAGGAACUGACUUCACAGCCACAAAUGCAAGAUAGCAAAUAUGUGAUUAUCUCAUGUCUGAAACAGCAAAGUCUAAAACUUGGGAAUAUAGCCAAAACACAAGGGAUCCAGGAGUAAAAUUUGUGGAUUUAGUCUCAACACAACAGUGUCAGGGGAUGGCACCCAUGCAUUUAAUUGUUGAGCCCGGACAGGAUGACCAGAUAAGCUCAGCAGAGUGGAAAGGUGGGCUGUUCGACCGGCUGAACAAACAGUUUGAGUUGGAAGAUAUGUUGUCUAUGGGGUCAGAUCCAGAACCCAAACUUGCAGGUAGAAAACCCGUAGAGCUCAUCUCUAAACUACAAUGUAAAGAUGCACCCUCAUUUGAAUUGGUUUCUGAAGUAGUUAUUCAUUCAUAAUGUAAAAGCUCAAGAGGUCAAUGUGAGCCAAAGGUGCCAAGCAUGAUACCUUGUCCAUUGACUCCAGAAUCACAAGUGUACCCAGUGAAAGCCUUGGAGCCAAUGUUAGAGCCACCGCUUCAAGAUGGGAGAACUGUGGCACUAAAUACAGAACCACAAAUUGGAGGUACAAAAUCUGUUCAGUGGAUACCAGUAUCUGAGUUUCAAAGGGAGAAAUGUAUAGGGUCAAACUUUAGGUUACAGUCUCAAAGUGCCAGACCUACAGAAUUGAAGCUGUCUACAAAACAGAGAGGUGUGAAGUCAUCUGAAUUGACAGGUUAAAAAUUCAAGGAGAAAAAUCCAUGGAAUUUCAUCUUGAGUCACAGUUACAGCAAGUAAAAACCUCUUUGUUAGCACUAGCUCUGUAGAAAACAAAAACUUUCAACUUAGCUUCCGAGCCGCAGCUUCAAGGGAUCAAAACUGUGGAGCUAAUCAAGGAGCCUCAAGUUGAACUUGUAAGAUCCAUUCAGUGGAUACCAGGACCUGAGUUCUGUGGUGUGAAAUUUUAGGAUUAAAUCGUGGGUCACCAUCUCCAGGUGUCCAGUCUACAGAACAGAAACCAUCCAUACAGCUGGGAGGUGAGAAGACAUCAGAGAUAACUCGGGUCAAAACUUCAAGGAAAAAUUUCAGGAUUUUAAACCUUGUGCCCCACGUACAGUGUGUGAAGACCCCUGAAUUGGCCCUUGUACCUAAGCUACAAACAAGGGAAAACAUCAGAUCAACCUCACAGUCUCAAUGUGUGAAAAGUUGGCCUUAUACCAGGGACCACAGCUUGAAAAUACAAAAUCUGUUCACUGGAUACCACUGUCUGACUGGCAGGUUAAGAAAUCUAUACUGAAUCUUAGGUUGCAAUCUCAAGAUGUCACAGCUAAAGCGUUAAAACCCUCGGUACAACUAAGAGUUGUGAAGACAUCCCAUGAGUUAAUUACGAGGCCAAAGUCACAGGUAAACAACCUUCAGAGUCAACCCAGGAACAUCAGUCUCAGAGGUCCAAAACUAUUGAUUUCAAAUCUGAACUACAGUUUAGAAGUAUGAAAGCAUGUGACCCAACCUUAAGGUCAAAGAUCAAUAAUACAAAAUGGACAUUCAAUCCCAGGUUUUGCUUAGAAGAAAGGAGCUCUCCUGGGUUGAACCCUGGAUUACAGUCACAAGAAGGGAAGCCCUUAGGGUCAUCCCCAGGAACACAGACUAGAGCUGUGUUCAGUAUUUAAACAAGAGUCACAGUUUUUAGAAGGUAAAUAGAGAGCUUUAAGCCAAAGGCCACAAUCACAAAACAAUGUAGAGUUGAAAUGUGGAAAAUCUUCUGAGUUGGCACUUCUGACAAAGCUUCAAGGUAUGAAUCUGAGAACAUCUCUGGGCCCCAGUGGCAGUGUGCAAAAUGUUCUGACUUGACACCUGAAACAGAGUCCCAAAAUAUGAAAUGUCCUAAGUUAAGUCCCAGCUCACAGUUGAAAGGCCAACCAUUUACUGAGUUAGCUAUGGGAGCCAAAACUCGAUGUGUCAAACAAGGCUGUAAACCUGGACACAGUGGUAAGGUAUGAAAUCCAACUCAUUUCUGAGGACAUAGCCUCAAGAAAUGGAAAUAGAAGACGGUGAAUCAGGCCCACAGUUACAAGACCUGAAAUCUUCAAGGACAAUCAUGGGUGUAGACAAUCAUGUCUGUGGACUUCGGUCCUGGACCACUUACAAGAUAUGACAUCUGAAGUCAUUAGAGGGAAAAGGGCUCAUGCUAUGAAAUCCAAAGAAAUCAAAUUUAGUUCAAAGUUACAAGGUAAGAAACAUGAUUUCACCCUGAGGAAGAUGUUCUUAGGUACAAAAUCUGUAGAGCUGGACUCAGGCUCCCCUUUACAAGAUUUUUAAUAUCCUGAGCUGAUCAUGGGUAUGAAGCCUCAAGGUGUGAACUCUAUGGGACAAUACAUUACAAGUAUAAAAUCUUCUGAGGUGGUAACACAGAUAUAAUCCCAUGGUAUGACAGUGGUGGAUCUCAAUUCUGGACCACAGACACAAAAUAAAAAUCCCUCUGAAUUGGUUCAAGGGCAAAGGUACCAAGCUAAGGAGUCUGUAGAGUUUAAUCAAGGCGCAAAGUUACAAGGUGUGACAAUGGAGUCCAAGAACCCAAAUGGGGAAUCUGGGAAGUUAAACUCAGGCCCCCAGUUACAAGAUGAAAAAUACUCUCAGUCAAUUCUAGGGACAAAGCUUCAAUAUGGAAGAUUAUAUGGAGGUCAGUUCUGGCCUAUGCUCACAGGCAGGGUAUGAAGUCUUCCGAAGUGAUUUCAGAGGACACACUUGAAAAAGAGAAACCCUUGGGCUCUGUAGAUCAGCCACUGUGGCAAGAUGUAAAAUCUUUAAAAUGGACAUUUGGUAAGGCAGUUGACAGGGAACCUUUGCAGUUGGAGACCACUCAUUUACAGGACAGGAAAUUAUCUAUGUUAACACCAGAAUUAAAUCUUCAAGGUAUGAAACCUCAGGUAGUCAAUUGUGGAUCAAAGUUGAAAGGUGUGAAGUCUGAGUCCACAUAUGUCCAGACAGUGAAGGAUACUGGGAUCAAUCAUGGUAGAGAAUUACAGUUUGUGGGAUUCUCUAAGCAGGCCUCGGACUUAACAGUUUAUAGUGUGGUGCCUUCCAAACCCAAUCUCAGAAACCAGAAACAAGAUUGGAAGUCUCACAAAUUAAGUCAAAAGCAACAACUUCAAAAAAUAUAAAACCGAUAGUGUUCAGUCACAAGCCACAUUUGCAACAUAUCAAGUCAUCAGAAUUAUGUACAAAGCUUCAAGACCUGAAAUCUAUGGAAUUUAAUUCAGAGCAACAGUUGCAAGAUGUGAUAUCCUCUGAGUUGGGCCUGGGAACAAGCCCUCAGUCUUUAGAGUUCAACCCUGGGCCACAGUUACAAGAGAUAAAACCUUCUGAGGUAUGCACAGAAACCAAGCUGCCAGAUGAGCCGUCUCUGGAAUUCAAGCAUGAGCCUAGAUUGCAAGGUAGGGCAUCCUGUGACCUAAAUGCAGUGCCACAGAUUCACUGUAAAAAUGUUAUGGCAUCCAACACUGGAAAACAAAAUGUAGAAUCAUCUGAGUCGCAACCUGAUCCAGACUUUCAAGGUAUAAAAUCUAAGCUGUUCUGCCUUGGGCUGCACUCAGAAUAUGUAAAUUCUGUAUGCACUCCCAAUGCAAAUUCUCAGUAUAUAAAUACCAGUGGAUGUAAACCUGGGCCAUAUUUGCAAGAUAUAAAUUCAUCUGCAUGCAUUCCAGAGCCAGACCCUCAAUGUAUGAAGUCUGUGUGCAAUCCUGGGUCACAUUUACAUGGAACGCAUUCUUCUGCAUGCAUUUUAGGACCAAAAUUGCAAUGUGCAGAUUUUACUGUGUGCAUCCAUGAGCCAAACUUGCAAGACGUAAAUUCUCCUGUAUGCACCCCAGGGCCAAGUCCUCAGAGUGUGAAUUCUUCUGUAUGCACCCCAGGGCCAACUCUUCCAUGUGUAAAUUCUACAUCCUGAAGCACAUUUGCAAGGUGUGAAUCAAUGGGCAUUAGUUCUAGGACCACACAUUCAGUGUGUAGAUCCUAUUGGAUGCUAUCCUAACUCACAUUUGCAAGGUGUGAAUCCUUCCACACGCACUCCAGGGCAAAACCCUUAGUGUGAACAUUCUAAUAAGUGUAGUCUUGAGCCACUUCUCCUUGGUAAGAGUCAUGGUAGAACAUUUCCAUCACCACAAAUUUUGUGUGUAAAUUCUGUUUGGUGCAAUACCAAAACACAUUUGCAAGAUGUGGAUUCUUCUGCCUGUACUCGAAGACAAGAAUCCAGUCUAUAAAUUCUACUGGAUACAACCCUGGGCCACAUUUACAAGCUCCAAAACUUCAAGGUAUGAAGUUUUCUGAGUUGAACCCUGGGACAGGAAUUCUAAGAGAGAUGCCUGUAAUAGUUAACCAAGGACAACACGUGCAAGACCUGAAGCUUGAAUUAACUCCAGAGUCAAAUAUUAUAAAUGGUCCACCUAUAGAGCACAACUCUUGGCAACAGAUACAAUGUGUGAAUUUUUCUCAGUUGAAUCCAGGAUUAAAAUUACAAUGCAUAAAUCCAGUGAAGCUUAGUUCAGGGCCACAGUGGCAAAACGUGAAGUCCUUUGAGUUGAAGCCUGGGUCAGAAUCUCAAUGUCCAAAAUCUGUUCUGUUGCACUGUGGACCACCUUUUCAAGGUGUGACACCAUCUCACUUAAUCGUAGGGGCAGAGUUUCAGGAGAUCCCAUUUUUGAAGAAACAACUUGGAUUGUGGCAGAAACCACACAACCCUUGUUUACUUUGAGGCCUCCAUCAAAUGGUGUGAAAUCUGGGAGUUUCACCAACCCCACUGCCUGAAGAUAGAAUGUCAUCAGAGAUAAGCAAACAGUCAUUGCUUUGUUUUACAAAUUCUGUAAAACUGACACCUGACUUGGUCUGCAGGACGUAAGAAGUAAGGAAUUUUCACCAGAACCUUGUUUUCAAAAAGUUACAUCUGUGAAGUCGAAGCCAGGGUCACCAACUCAAAAGUGUGAACCCUUAGAGUUUGCUCCAUGCCACUGUUCUCAACGUACUAAGACUUCCUUUGCACUGAAGCCAUGUUUUCAUGAAAGAAAGCCUAUGCAGCUGAGGCUGGGCUCCAAACAGCAAAGCAUGAUCACCAACAGUUUCCUUUAAAUGAGAAACUAAUGGUACCAAUACCAGAGUCCCAUGGAGAGUUCUUAGCAGGACCAGCACUGACUAGCAUCAAAUUUUCAAAUUUGAUUCCGGAAUCACAGCAACAAUGUAUGAAAUGUACAGAAUUUACUUCAGAGCCAAAGUGGCAAAGUGUAAACAUGUGAAGUUGUCACCAGUGUCUCUGCCACAAACUGGAAACUCUGUGUGAUUAUCACCAAGGCCAUUCCUUCAAAAUGUGACAUCUGGGAACCAAUGUCCCCAGACAUGUGAUCAAAUCAUAGAUAUAUAGACCUGGGCACCAGUUGGAGGACUAUGCUGAAAAGAUCAGGUGCCAAAUCUCUAAACUGUUGGUUUUUAUUUCACUACCAGUUUACCAAGAUGCAGGAUCUUCAAAAUGAUGAAAGGGUUGGGACAUAAAAGCCCCAAAACAAUAUAGAAGUCUAUGAGGUUGACCCCCAAACCAACAGAUCAAAUCAUAGAAUCAUUAGGGAUGCCUCAGCAACUAGAUCUUCAAGGACUAGAAUUUGUUGAUCUGACUCCCACACUAAGUGAUCAAGAUUUGAAAUCCUCAGAAGUAAUCCCACAGAAAAGCUACCAGAGCCCAGAAACUCUGGAGUUGCUUUCUUGUUUGUGGCCUCAAUUUAAAGAUUUCAAGGAGUUACCAACAAAACAAGCCACAGGAUCUGAUAGACUGACCCUUGACCUCAAUAAUCAUGUUGCAGAGGUAAGGAUGCUAACUUGUGAGGUAAGACCAGGGAAAGAAUUUCUUAGAGUUACUUCAAAGUCAGUAAAUAGACUGGAUGUGUAGAAAAAUCUCCAAGGCUUAAGACUUAGGACCUGUGGUGGUGGGCUCUGAGAGAAUUUCCCAAAGGAAAUCUGUAGCAUUGCCAUCAAGGCCAUCCUAUCUUGUUCCAGAUUCUGCUUCAGGGAUAAAACCAGGGCAAGGACCUCAGAUUCCUGAAUCUAUAAGUUUGACCUCUAAGCCAUGGUUGCAAAUAGAAGAAUCCUUAGAUUUGUUAACCCAGCAAUCCAGUCAAGUUAAGGGAGAUAUAGACUCUGAGGAAGUCACUUUUGAGUCAUGGCAGCCAAGGGAGGUAGCAGGUAGGCUAACAAAGCCCCAUGAUUUAAGCAUGGGAACUUUAAACAUUAACUCCAAUAGAAUCACUGGAUCAAAUGAUAAACUUUGUAACGAUCAGUCCAAAGCCACUAGGUAAAGUGACAGAAUCUGCAAAGAUACGGCUUCAGCUCCUCUCCCCAGUGUUUCCAAAUCAUUGGAAGUUAUCUCUGGGCUGCCACUUCAAGUUCGAGAGUCUGUGAUGAUACCAGAGGCAACCUCUCAAGGGUCAAAACAUGCUGAUUUGAUUCCCAAACUGCAUGAUGUGAAAUUGGAUGGAUUUGCUUCAAGUCUUUGGCUACAAAAUGUGCAAUCUAAGAAAUUAAUUGCAGUAUCAACACAUCAAAUUUUAGAAACGAUAGAGUUGUUGGGCUUUCAAGUUAUAAAGACUACAUUGGUUCCCAAACCCUGGCUUCUGAUUGUAAAAUCUGAAGAGCUGGCUCCAGGACCAAGUCUCCAUCUAUAGAACCAAAUGGAGUUGCCACACAGUCAAGCAGUAAAGUAAACUAAAGAAUGGUGUGAAUUUACUCCCAAGACCACAUCUU